rnacentral:rRNA from 1 species
UGGUGGAGUGAUUUGUCUGGUUAAUUCCGUUAACGAACGAGACCUCGACCUACUAAAUAGUUAAGUAAACUCUUCGGGUUUACGCUGACUUCUUAGAGGGACUUUUGGUGAGUAGCCAAAGGAAGUUCGAGGCAAUAACA